UACAGAGGGUGCAAGCGUUGUUCGGAAUUACUGGGUGUAAAGGGUUCGUAGGCGGUGUGGCAAGUCGGGAGUGAAAUCUCUGGGCUUAACUCAGGGGCUGCUUCCGAAACUGCUGUGCUAGAGUGUGGGAGAGGCGCGUGGAAUUGCAGGUGUAGCGGUGAAAUGCGUAGAUAUCUGCAGGAACACCCGUGGCGAAAGCGGCGCGCUGGACCACUACUGACGCUGAGGAACGAAAGCUAGGGGAGCAAACAGG
rnacentral:rRNA from 1 species